rnacentral:rRNA from 1 species
UACAGAGGUCCCAAGCGUUGUUCGGAUUCACUGGGCGUAAAGGGUGCGUAGGUGGCCAGGUAAGUUCGGUGUGAAAGCUCGGAGCUUAACUCCGAAAUGUCAUUGAAUACUAUCUGGCUUGAGGGUCGGAGGGGAGACUGGAAUUCUCGGUGUAGCAGUGAAAUGCGUAGAUAUCGAGAGGAACACCAGUGGUGAAGGCGAGUCUCUGGACGACUCCUGACACUGAGGCACGAAAGCUAGGGGAGCAAACAGG